UCUUGAUCAACCUAAGAAGGAGAUUUAAAGCUUAUAGGAAAGUGAUCACACGCCUGAAGAUCUCGUUUCCUCACUUCCCUA